rnacentral:misc_RNA from 1 species
UCUAAGGUUUAAGUAGAAUAGAAAACAUUCUAGCUCCCAGCUCAUAUCCAUGUCACCAUGCAAGCUCCAACACAUUUUCCAUCUACAAAGGUGACAAAUCUACAAGUGCACAAGAUUUACAAGUGCAAAACUAACAUACCAUCUACUUGGAAACAUUACAAAACCAAAUAUGUAGAGAUUGAAGAUCUUGCCCACCACAGGUAUACAAAAGGUUCUUC